rnacentral:lncRNA from 1 species
AGGAGGCGGCGGGUAGCUGGCAGGCGCCGACUUCCGAAGGCCGCCGUCCGGGCGAGGUGUCCUCAUGACUUCUCUUGUGGACCAUGUCCGUGAUCUUUUUUGCCUGCGUGGUACGGGUAAGGGAUGGACUGCCCCUCUCAGCCUCUACUGAUUUUUACCACACCCAAGAUUUUUUGGAAUGGAGGAGACGGCUCAAGAGUUUAGCCUUGCGACUGGCCCAGUAUCCAGGUCGAGGUUCUGCAGAAGGUUGUGACUUUAGUAUACAAUGUGGAGAAGUCUGAGGCUAAUUCCCCCAAUAGAAUAUGCAUCCCUCAUGCAUGAAUAAAUAAGAGUGAUCACAGGCUGUCAUUGAUUAAGACUACUAGACAUUUUAAAGGAAGCGGAAGAAAGACAGUCUCAGGAAUAGGUCGAACUGAAGAGACAAUAUACCUGCAGCAAACAGCUACAGGACUGUUUAAAGCCAAGCAAGUGCAGAAUUCAGUUUUUCUUCUUUCGGGGACGUGGCCUGCAUGGCUAUCUGCUCCUGCCAGUGUCCAGCAGCCAUGGCCUUCUGCUUCCUGGAGACCCUGUGGUGGGAAUUCACAGCUUCCUAUGACACUACCUGCAUUGGCCUAGCCUCCAGGCCAUACGCUUUUCUUGAGUUUGACAGCAUCAUUCAGAAAGUGAAGUGGCAUUUUAACUAUGUAAGUUCCUCUCAGAUGGAGUGCAGCUUGGAAAAAAUUCAGGAGGAGCUCAAGUUGCAGCCUCCAGCGGUUCUCACUCUGGAGGACACAGAUGUGGCAAAUGGGGUGAUGAAUGGUCACACACCGAUGCACUUGGAGCCUGGU